rnacentral:lncRNA from 1 species
UUUAAAUAGAUCAUGUGUUGGUUUGUGCGUUCAUUGCUUACAACAUACUAGAUGAUUUAGUGUAUAGAGUUUAGCUUAUACACGAAAGAUUAAAUCAUCAAUUUUUGUAAGACAUAAAAGUUAAUAUUCACAGUCUAAUGAUGGAAUUGAACAAAUCAUCGGAUUGAUUGUAGCAUAAGAUUAAAUAUAAUGUAUCUUGAUUAUGGGAAUGAUUUAAUUCCAACUUCUUGUGCUAAUACAUUUUGUAUGUAUUGAAUGGAUCAAGUAGAGAUGAGUAUUUUAUACUGAC